UGGGGAAUAUUGGGCAAUGGGCGCAAGCCUGACCCAGCAACGCCGCGUGAAGGAAGAAGGCUUUCGGGUUGUAAACUUCUUUUGUCGGGGACGAAACAAAUGACGGUACCCGACGAAUAAGCCACGGCUAACUACGUGCCAGCAGCCGCGGUAAUACGUAGGUGGCAAGCGUUAUCCGGAUUUACUGGGUGUAAAGGGCGUGUAGGCGGGAUUGCAAGUCAGAUGUGAAAACUGGGGGCUCAACCUCCAGCCUGCAUUUGAAACUGUAGUUCUUGAGUGCUGGAGAGGCAAUCGGAAUUCCGUGUGUAGCGGUGAAAUGCGUAGAUAUACGGAGGAACACCAGUGGCGAAGGCGGAUUGCUGGACAGUAACUGACGCUGAGGCGCGAAAGCGUGGGGAGCAAACAG
rnacentral:rRNA from 1 species